GACGAACGCUGGCGGCGUGCUUAACACAUGCAAGUCGAACGGAAAGGCCCUGCUUUUGUGGGGUGCUCGAGUGGCGAACGGGUGAGUAACACGUGAGUAACCUGCCCUUGACUUUGGGAUAACUUCAGGAAACUGGGGCUAAUACCGGAUAGGAUCUCUUGCUGCAUGGUGGGGGUUGGAAAGUUUCGGCGGUUGGGGAUGGACUCGCGGCUUAUCAGCUUGUUGGUGGGGUAGUGGCUUACAAAGGCUUUGACGGGUAGCCGGCCUGAGAGGGUGACCGGCGACAAUGGGACUGCGGUACGGACCAGACUCCAACGGGAGGCAGCAGUGGGGAAUAUUGCACAGUGGGCGGAAGCCUGAUGCAGCAACGCCGGGUGCGGGAUGACGGCCUUCGGGUUGUAAACCGAUUUGGCCUGUGACGAAGCGUGAGUGACGGUAAUGGGUAAAGAAGCACCGGCUAACUACGUG
rnacentral:rRNA from 1 species